GGACAAACGAGAAUAUCCCUGUCUCCUUUAAGCCAGUAAAAAUUUAUCUUUAAGUGAAGAAGCUUAAAUAAUUAUGCAGGACAAGAAGACCCUAUAGAGCUUUACCUAAACAUUACAUUAUAAGUAAUUAAGGGUUCGGUUGGGGCGACCUGGGGACAUAAAUCACCCCUUAAAAUUUAGACAAACACGUCAUUAAAAAGAUCCUAAACUAAGAUCAACGAAUCAAGCUACCUUAGGGAUAACAGGCUAAUCCUCUUAGAGAGCCCUUAUCGACAAGAGGGGUUGGCACCUCGAUGUUGGCUUAGGACUUCUUUACGCCGCAGCAGGCGUAACCAGAUGGUUUGUUCAACCAUUAAA
rnacentral:rRNA from 1 species